rnacentral:rRNA from 1 species
UGCAAGACCGAUGCUCUGACGAAAGCACUCAUUGGGGUGCUAGUAGUUGCUGCUUGGUUUGGAAGAUCUUAGGUCUUGGACUUGAGCACUGUUGGUUCCCUCUGGAUCAACUUGCUUGAAAUGUAUUAGCUGGCGACCUGCCUUCAAUGGUUACCACUCGGCGUAGUAAGUCUUAUUCGUCGAGGACACCUUGUACCUUCAUUGGAACGGGUGGCCAUUGUACUGUGUCUUGAUAGCCGCUUCUAAUUGUCUCUGGACAACAUAACGAACUCUUUAAUCUCAACUCGGGUAGGACUACCCGCUGAACUUAAGCAUAUCAAUAAGCGGAGG